AGUGAACGCUGGCGGUAGGCCUAACACAUGCAAGUCGAACGGCAGCACAGUAAGAGCUUGCUCUUACGGGUGGCGAGUGGCGGACGGGUGAGGAAUACAUCGGAAUCUACUUUUUCGUGGGGGAUAACGUAGGGAAACUUACGCUAAUACCGCGUACGACCUACGGGUGAAAGCAGGGGAUCUUCGCACCUUGCGCGAUUGAAUGAGCCGAUGUCGGAUUAGCUAGUUGGCGGGGUAAAGGCCCACCAAGGCGACGAUCCGUAGCUGGUCUGAGAGGAUGAUCGGCCACACUGGAACUGAGACACGGUCCAGACUCCUACGGGAGGCAGCAGUGGGGAAUAUUGGACAAUGGGCGCAAGCCUGAUCCAGCCAUACCGCGUGAGUGAAGAAGGUCUUCGGAUUGUAAAGCUCUGUUGUUGGGAAAGAAAAGCAGCAGAUGAAUACCCCGCUGUUCUGACGGUACCCAAAGAAUAAGCACCGGCUAACUUCGUG
rnacentral:rRNA from 1 species